rnacentral:rRNA from 1 species
UACGGGGGGAGCAAGCGUUGUUCGGAUUUACUGGGCGUAAAGGGCGCGUAGGCGGCCAGCACAAGUCAGUUGUGAAAUCUCCGAGCUUAACUCGGAAAGGUCAACUGAUACUGUGCGGCUAGAGUGCGGAAGGGGCAACUGGAAUUCUUGGUGUAGCGGUGAAAUGCGUAGAUAUCGAGAGGAACACCAGUGGCGAAGGCGAGUCUCUGGACAUUUCCUGACGCUGAGGCACGAAAGCCAGGGGAGCAAACGGG